UACGAAGGGGGCUAGCGUUGCUCGGAAUCACUGGGCGUAAAGGGCUCGUAGGCGGCCAACUCAGUCGGACGUGAAAUCCCUCGGCUUAACCGGGGAACUGCGUCCGAUACUGGAUGGCUUGAGUGUGGGAGAGGGAUGCGGAAUUCCAGGUGUAGCGGUGAAAUGCGUAGAUAUCUGGAGGAACACCGGUGGCGAAGGCGGCAUCCUGGACUACUACUGACGCUGAGGAGCGAAAGCCAGGGGAGCAAAGCGGG
rnacentral:rRNA from 1 species